rnacentral:rRNA from 1 species
AUGAACGCUGGCGGCGUGCCUAAUACAUGCAAGUCGAGCGAACAGACGAGGAGCUUGCUCCUCUGACGUUAGCGGCGGACGGGUGAGUAACACGUGGAUAACCUACCUAUAAGACUGGGAUAACUUCGGGAAACCGGAGCUAAUACCGGAAUAAUAUAUUGAACCGCAUGGUUCAAUAGUGAAAGACGGUUUUGCUGUCACUUAUAGAUGGAUCCGCGCCGCAUUAGCUAGUUGGUAAGGUAACGGCUUACCAAGGCAACGAUGCGUAGCCGACCUGAGAGGGUGAUCGGCCACACUGGAACUGAGACACGGUCCAGACUCCUACGGGAGGCAGCAGUAGGGAAUCUUCCGCAAUGGGCGAAAGCCUGACGGAGCAACGCCGCGUGAGUGAUGAAGGUCUUCGGAUCGUAAAACUCUGUUAUUAGGGAAGAACAAAUGUGUAAGUAACUAUGCACGUCUUGACGGUACCUAAUCAGAAAGCCACGGCUAACUACGUG